CAGCCGCCGCGGUAAUACGGAGGGGGCUAGCGUCGUUCGGAAUUACUGGGCGUAAAGCGCACGUAGGCGGCUUGGUAAGUUAGAGGUGAAAGCCUGGAGCUCAACUCCAGAAUUGCCUUUAAGACUGCCGAGCUAGCAGGUGAGAGAGGUAAGUGGAAUUCCGAGUGUAGAGGUGAAAUUCGUAGAUAUUCGGAAGAACACCAGUGGCGAAGGCGGCUUACUGGCUCAUACUGGACGCUGAGGUGCGAAAGCGUGGGGAGCAAACAGGAUUAGAUACCCCCGUAGUCCCUGUCUCUUAUAC
rnacentral:rRNA from 1 species